GGAGACAUGGACUCCUUUACCACCCCCCGGAGAACUUCAGACUUUGUUUUAGCCCCGAGGACCUUUGGGCUUGUAUGGAUAAAGCGCUAUAGCAGUUACAGUUCCGAGGAGGGCCCUUUGACUCGACCAUUGAUAGAUACCUCAGGACCCGACCCCGAACCCUCGUGAAGAACCCCGAUGAGUGUGACGACCCCCCCCCCCCAAAGUGGGAAGAUGAUCAUGGCUUGGGGGAGUCACUGGUGGACAAGGUGAACGGGAAAGACGUUGCUCAGCUCGACGAUGCCUUUCAAGAGGCCUUUGAGAACUUACACAUCGGUAGCCCUGUUGUGCAUCAGCUGUUUUUGCUCCUGUCUGAGAUGCGGAUCUCAAGAGGAAAAUCCGGAAAAGGACAAAAUAGAAGAAUGAACCAGCUCAGAGUCUUUCGUUGUAGGGGUCAUGGCGUCCAUUUUUACAGGUGGCUGUCAAAGGUUGUGUUAAACCAGGCAAUUAAUUAAACUUAUUUAAAUGUG